rnacentral:rRNA from 1 species
UACGUAGGGUGCAAGCGUUAAUCGGAAUUACUGGGCGUAAAGCGUGCGCAGGCGGUUUUGUAAGUCUGUCGUGAAAUCCCCGGGCUCAACCUGGGAAUGGCAGUGGAAACUAGGGGACUUGAAUCUGGCAGAGGGGGGUGGAAUUCCACGUGUAGCAGUGAAAUGCGUAGAGAUGUGGAGGAACACCGAUGGCGAAGGCAGCCCCCUGGGCUGAGAUUGACGCUCAGGCACGAAAGCGUGGGGAGCAAACAGG